rnacentral:rRNA from 1 species
GACGAACGCUGGCGGCGUGCCUAAUACAUGCAAGUCGAGCGAAGUUUUUCUGGUGCUUGCACUAGAAAAACUUAGCGGCGAACGGGUGAGUAACACGUAAAGAACCUGCCUCAUAGACGGGGACAACUAUUGGAAACGAUAGCUAAUACCGGAUAACAACAUAAAUCGCAUGAUAAAUGUUUAAAAGUUGGUUUCGGCUAACACUAUGAGAUGGCUUUGCGGUGCAUUAGCUAGUUGGUGGGGUAAAGGCCUACCAAGGCGACGAUGCAUAGCCGACCUGAGAGGGUGAUCGGCCACACUGGGACUGAGACACGGCCCAGACUCCUACGGGAGGCAGCAGUAGGGAAUCUUCCGCAAUGGGCGAAAGCCUGACGGAGCAACGCCGCGUGAGUGAAGAAGGAUUUCGGUUCGUAAAGCUCUGUUGUUAGGGAAGAAUGAUUGUGUAGUAACUAUACACAGUAGAGACGGUACCUAACCAGAAAGCCACGGCUAACUACGUGCCAGCAGCCGCGGUAAUACGUAGGUGGCAAGCGUUGUCCGGAAUUAUUGGGCGUAAAGCGCGCGCAGGUGGUUUAAUAAGUCUGAUGUGAAAGCCCACGGCUCAACCGUGGAGGGUCAUUGGAAACUGUUAAACUUGAGUGCAGGAGAGAAAAGUGGAAUUCCUAGUGUAGCGAUGAAAUGCGUAGAGAUUAGGAGGAACACCAGUGGCGAAGGCGGCUUUUUGGCCUGUAACUGACACUGAGGCGCGAAAGCGUGGGGAGCAAACAGG